GUGAGGAAUUUGCCCAUCAUUUGGGGAUAACACCGGGAAUCCGGUGCUAAUACCGAAUAAUACCGUCUUGGCGGCAUCGGUAAGCCGGGAAAGAAUUUCGAUGAUGGAUGAUCUCGCGUCCUAUCAGCUAGUUGGUGAGGUAACGGCUCACCAAGGCAACGACGGGUAGCCGGCCUGAGAGGGCGACCGGCCACACUGGGACUGAGACACGGCCCAGACUCUUACGGGAGGCAGCAGUAGGGAAUAUUGGGCAAUGGGCGCAAGCCUGACCCAGCGACGCCGCGUGAGGGAUGAAGGUAUUCGGAUUGUAAACCUCUUUCAGUAGGGAAGAAGCGAAAGUGACGGUACCUAAAGAAGAAGCACCGGCUAACUAUGU
rnacentral:rRNA from 1 species